CAGCCGCCGCGGGAAUACGUAGGUGGCAAGCGUUGUCCGGAAUUAUUGGGCGUAAAGGCUCGCAGGCGGUUUCUUAAGUCUGAUGUGAAAGCCCCCGGCUCAACCGGGGAGGGUCAUUGGAAACUGGAAACUUGAGUGCAGAAGAGGAGAGUGGAAUUCCACGUGUAGCGGUGAAAUGCGUAGAGAUGUGGAGGAACACCAGUGGCGAAGGCGACUCUCUGGUCUGUAACUGACGCUGAGGAGCGAAAGCGUGGGGAGCGAACAGGAUUAGAUACCCCAGUAGUCCCUGUCUCUUAUACAC
rnacentral:rRNA from 1 species